UNUCUGGGCCGUUACUGACGCUGAGGAGCGAAAGCGUGGGGAGCGAACAGGAUUAGAUACCCUGGUAGUCCACGCCGUAAACGUUGGNCACUAGGUGUGGGGGGCCUUUUCCGGGUUNUCCGCGCCGUAGCUAACGCAUUAAGUGCCCCGCCUGGGGAGUACGGCCGCAAGGCUAAAACUCAAAGGAAUUGACGGGGGCCCGCACAAGCGGCGGAGCAUGCGGAUUAAUUCGAUGCAACGCGAAGAACCUUACCAAGGCUUGACAUGUGCCGGUCGGCUCCGGAGACGGGGUUUCCUCCUUGUGGGGCCGGAUCACAGGUGGUGCAUGGUUGUCGUCAGCUCGUGUCGUGAGAUGUUGGGUUAAGUCCCGCAACGAGCGUAACCCUUGUCCCGUGUUGCCAGCACGUUGUGGUGGGGAUUCGCGGGAGACUGCCGGGGUCAACUCGGAGGAAGGUGGGGAUGACGUCAAAUCAUCAUGCCCCUUAUGUCUUGGGCUUCACGCAUGCUACAAUGGCCGGUACAGAGGGCUGCGGUACCGUGAGGUGGAGCGAAUCCCUUAAAGCCGGUCUCAGUUCGGAUCGGUGUCUG
rnacentral:rRNA from 1 species